AGCACAACACAAUAAAAUUGCUAAAAUGUGGUCAAUUCUGGUCGUGUUUCUUUAUAGAAUCGUUUAAUACACACUCCGAACUGUUUGGAAGGUCAGAGCCUUAGUCAUCAUAACUACAAGAUGUUCCAGUUUUGAUUGUGCUGGUAUAGAAUUGUCAUCAGCAACAAUCUCAGCAUCAUCGGCUGGAUAAUCAGCAUCCCGUCUAAUUGAUUGGAGAAUUCAACGAUGUUGAUCGAGUUACGGAUCUCUUCUUCCCCUUUAAUUCUCCUCUGUCCUCGUGUACGUCCAUGUGUGUGUGGGGGUAUUCAUGAGUCUGAGGCCCUUUUUCCUAUCUCGCCUGGUGGAUUCAACCUUUCUGCGAAUGGAUGGAGCACUUGUGGAUGUCUGGCCGUAUUUCCCAG